CGCAUGACCUUUCAUCUCACGAAACGCCUUCGACAAGUUUUAUGAACAUAACACCUGCAGGAAGACGUUCUCAACCAAACAUUAAUGGCUUCCAAAGAUCAGUUCUCACCAAACUGGAAACAUUAAUUGAUAAGCAAGAAGAAGCGUUGCCAAUAUUGCGUGCUCUGUUAAGCGUUACGAAAGGUGUAGACGAGCACGAAAUUUUGUAAUAUGUUGUACCUAAUCCCUUAGAUUCGGUUGAAGAACUUAAGGAGCUAUCCUCUAGUCUUGAUGAAGAAAUGUCCAGAAGAAAGUUGCUGCAGUUUUUGGUAGCACCGUGCGCAAAUACCUGUCAAAAGGUGUUAGAUGAUAUAUGACAAAGCUGGGAACAAAUAAUCUCUGGUCCCAAUAUAGUUUAAAAGGCAGAAAGUCAAAGCGACCAUUUCAGCACCUUGCCCUCUGCAAAGUUAUAACAAAAGUCUUCCUCAAAGCUCAUAAAGGUUGCAGCGAGGCCAACGUUGAAGAUCAAAUUGCCGAAUUUUUAAAAUAUGCUCCAGGCCAGCAAGAUGGUUCCAGAUUUAAGGUGCGAAAUUGCAACUUAUUGGAAUCGACUUAAUUAGCAUUUUUGUAAAUAUGUAUAUUAAAACACGCACAGCAAAAUAGAUGAAUUAAAAGUUGAUUAUACGGAAA